rnacentral:rRNA from 1 species
AGGGCGCACGGUGGAUGCCUUGACACUAGGAGUCGAUGAAGGACGGGACUAACGCCGAUAUGCUUCGGGGAGCUGUAAGUAAGCUUUGAUCCGAAGAUUUCCGAAUGGGGAAACCCACCAUACGUAAUGGUAUGGUAUCCUUAUCUGAAUACAUAGGGUAAGGAAGACAGACCCAGGGAACUGAAACAUCUAAGUACCUGGAGGAAGAGAAAGCAAAUGCGAUUUCCUGAGUAGCGGCGAGCGAAACGGAACAUAGCCCAAACCAAGAGGCUUGCCUCUUGGGGUUGUAGGACAUUCUAUACGGAGUUACAAAGGAACGAGGAGUAGACGAAGCGACCUGGAAAGGUCCGUCGUAGAGGGUAACAACCCCGUAGUCGAAACUUCGUUCUCUCUUGAAUGUAUCCUGAGUACGGCGGAACACGUGAAAUUCCGUCGGAAUCUGGGAGGACCAUCUCCCAAGGCUAAAUACUCCCUAGUGAUCGAUAGUGAACCAGUACCGUGAGGGAAAGGUGAAAAGCACCCCGGAAGGGGAGUGAAAGAGAUCCUGAAACCGUGUGCCUACAAAUAGUCAGAGCCCGUUAACGGGUGAUGGCGUGCCUUUUGUAGAAUGAACCGGCGAGUUACGAUCCCGUGCGAGGUUAAGCUGAAGAGGCGGAGCCGCAGCGAAAGCGAGUCUGAAUAGGGCGUUUAGUACGUGGUCGUAGACCCGAAACCAGGUGAUCUACCCAUGUCCAGGGUGAAGUUCAGGUAACACUGAAUGGAGGCCCGAACCCACGCACGUUGAAAAGUGCGGGGAUGAGGUGUGGGUAGCGGAGAAAUUCCAAUCGAACCUGGAGAUAGCUGGUUCUCCCCGAAAUAGCUUUAGGGCUAGCCUUAAGUGUAAGAGUCUUGGAGGUAGAGCACUGAUUGGACUAGGGGUCCUCAUCGGAUUACCGAAUUCAGUCAAACUCCGAAUGCCAAUGACUUAUCCUUAGGAGUCAGACUGCGAGUGAUAAGAUCCGUAGUCAAAAGGGAAACAGCCCAGACCGCCAGCUAAGGUCCCAAAGUGUGUAUUAAGUGGAAAAGGAUGUGGAGUUGCUUAGACAACUAGGAUGUUGGCUUAGAAGCAGCCACCAUUUAAAGAGUGCGUAAUAGCUCACUAGUCGAGUGACUCUGCGCCGAAAAUGUACCGGGGCUAAAUACACCACCGAAGCUGCGGAUUGAUACCAAUGGUAUCAGUGGUAGGGGAGCGUUCUAAGGACAGUGAAGUCAGACCGGAAGGACUGGUGGAGUGCUUAGAAGUGAGAAUGCCGGUAUGAGUAGCGAAAGACGGGUGAGAAUCCCGUCCACCGAAUGCCUAAGGUUUCCUGAGGAAGGCUCGUCCGCUCAGGGUUAGUCAGGACCUAAGCCGAGGCCGACAGGCGUAGGCGAUGGACAACAGGUUGAUAUUCCUGUACCACCUCUUUAUCGUUUGAGCAAUGGAGGGACGCAGAAGGAUAGAAGAAGCGUGCGAUUGGUUGUGCACGUCCAAGCAGUUAGGCUGAUAAGUAGGCAAAUCCGCUUAUCGUGAAGGCUGAGCUGUGAUGGGGAAGCUCCUUAUGGAGCGAAGUCUUUGAUUCCCCGCUGCCAAGAAAAGCUUCUAGCGAGAUAAAAGGUGCCUGUACCGCAAACCGACACAGGUAGGCGAGGAGAGAAUCCUAAGGUGUGCGAGAGAACUCUGGUUAAGGAACUCGGCAAAAUGACCCCGUAACUUCGGGAGAAGGGGUGCUUUCUUAACGGAAAGCCGCAGUGAAUAGGCCCAAGCGACUGUUUAGCAAAAACACAGCUCUCUGCGAAGCCGUAAGGCGAAGUAUAGGGGGUGACACCUGCCCGGUGCUGGAAGGUUAAGGAGAGGGGUUAGCGUAAGCGAAGCUCUGAACUGAAGCCCCAGUAAACGGCGGCCGUAACUAUAACGGUCCUAAGGUAGCGAAAUUCCUUGUCGGGUAAGUUCCGACCCGCACGAAAGGUGUAACGAUUUGGGCACUGUCUCAACCAGAGACUCGGUGAAAUUAUAGUACCUGUGAAGAUGCAGGUUACCCGCGACAGGACGGAAAGACCCCGUGGAGCUUUACUGUAGCCUGAUAUUGAAUUUUGGUACAGUUUGUACAGGAUAGGCGGGAGCCAUUGAAACCGGAGCGCUAGCUUCGGUGGAGGCGCUGGUGGGAUACCGCCCUGACUGUAUUGAAAUUCUAACCUACGGGUCUUAUCGACCCGGGAGACAGUGUCAGGUGGGCAGUUUGACUGGGGCGGUCGCCUCCUAAAGUGUAACGGAGGCGCCCAAAGGUUCCCUCAGAAUGGUUGGAAAUCAUUCGUAGAGUGCAAAGGCAUAAGGGAGCUUGACUGCGAGACCUACAAGUCGAGCAGGGACGAAAGUCGGGCUUAGUGAUCCGGUGGUUCCGCAUGGAAGGGCCAUCGCUCAACGGAUAAAAGCUACCCCGGGGAUAACAGGCUUAUCUCCCCCAAGAGUCCACAUCGACGGGGAGGUUUGGCACCUCGAUGUCGGCUCAUCGCAUCCUGGGGCUGUAGUCGGUCCCAAGGGUUGGGCUGUUCGCCCAUUAAAGCGGUACGCGAGCUGGGUUCAGAACGUCGUGAGACAGUUCGGUCCCUAUCCGUCGUGGGCGUAGGAAAUUUGAGAGGAGCUGUCCUUAGUACGAGAGGACCGGGAUGGACGCACCGCUGGUGUACCAGUUGUUCUGCCAAGGGCAUAGCUGGGUAGCUAUGUGCGGAAGGGAUAAGUGCUGAAAGCAUCUAAGCAUGAAGCCCCCCUCAAGAUGAGAUUUCCCAUAGCGUAAGCUAGU